AGGAAUUUGGAUAAAUUUUUAUGCGCACACGGUCAACCAACCCCGAGUUAACACCUGUUCAGGAAAAUAUAAACGGGAGAGGUUGGAAAGCGAGUGUUCGUAGAAAUUUACAAGAACAUUUAGAAAACACGACAGCUAACAUGGCAGCCGAGGCACAAGGAGAAGAGCAAAGAGAGGAGCAUAGAGCUCUGAAGGAGUAUUCCAUGCCCAAUAUUAAUGGACUACAGUUUAGCAUAG
rnacentral:lncRNA from 1 species